rnacentral:tRNA from 1 species
AGGUAAUUAGUUCAACGGUAGAACAACAGAUUCCAAAUCUGUUAACGUGGGUUCGACUCCUUCAUUACCUG